UACGGAGGGGGCUAGCGUUGUUCGGAAUUACUGGGCGUAAAGCGCACGUAGGCGGCUUUGUAAGUUAGAGGUGAAAGCCCAGGGCUCAACCCUGGAAUUGCCUUUAAGACUGCAUCGCUUGAACAUCGGAGAGGUAAGUGGAAUUCCUAGUGUAGAGGUGAAAUUCGUAGAUAUUAGGAAGAACACCGGUGGCGAAGGCGGCCCACUGGUCCGGUACUGACGCUGAGGUGCGAAAGCGUGGGGAGCAAACAGG
rnacentral:rRNA from 1 species